CCCGAAGCCGGACUAGGACGGAAAGCCGCGAGGGUCCCGCCCUGCGCGCGUCGGGGGCACGGGAUUGGACGGAAGCCGCGAGGGUCCCACCCUGCGCUGGAAGGGGUGGGCUGUCGAGGCCUGCUGGCCCCGCCCCCGCCAGUGUCCCCGGCUCCAGUUGCGUCCUAAACUGUGGACCCCCGGAACGCGAACAGAAAAUCGGAUUAGCGUUUUGCAGUCCCGGCUACAGCAGCUUCCUUCCGGAUGCUGCGGGCAAUUGGCCUCGGUCCAGACGUGUAGGCAGCUCUGCUCACUCUCGGGCACAGCCCUAUGGCUGGUACUGUGUAUGGCAGGAUCCAUAUGGACACAGGACCCCAGGACAAGAGACUGCCUCUGGAUAGAGAGGAUACAGAUGUGACGCAUAGGCAAAUGGCAGUUUAUAAAGACCAGGAUUGAUGGAGGCGACAACAUGGAAAUAAGAGAGACCAACCUCUACGCAAGCUAAUUGUGCUUUGAUCAAAACAAUAAACGACACCGGUCUCUCCAGUUCUGUUCCCCUGCAGUCUCAAUGUUGCAAAUAUUUAAAAAAAUAAGAUUAAAUUUAAAAAAUCUGUAAUGUGUUGUUUCUACUACUCCA